UACAGAGGGGGCAAGCGUUAUUCGGAAUUAUUGGGCGUAAAGGGCGCGUAGGCGGCUUCUCAAGUGACGGGUGAAAUCCCUCGGCUUAACCGAGGAACUGCCUGUCAGACUGGAAGGCUUGAGACCGGGAGAGGUGAGUGGAAUUCCCAGUGUAGCGGUGAAAUGCGUAGAUAUUGGGAGGAACACCAGUGGCGAAGGCGGCUCACUGGACCGGAACUGACGCUGAGGCGCGAAAGCGUGGGGAGCAAACAGG
rnacentral:rRNA from 1 species